AGACCCUGUUGAGCUUGACUCU
rnacentral:ncRNA from 3 species